rnacentral:rRNA from 1 species
GUGCCAGCAGCCGCGGUAAUUCCAGCUCUAGGAGCGUCUGUGUGUGUUGCUGCGGUUAAAAAGCGCGUAGUCGGGCAGACAGCCAGCAAUAAAGGUGCGGUCUCUUGCCGUGCAUUAUGCUGGAAACGAAGGCCUAGGAACCGGAGAGGGGCAAUGGUAUUCGAAAGCGAGGGGUGAAAACCAGUGACCUUUUGAGGAGCAACAGAGGCGAAGGCGAUUGUCCAGGACGGGUUCGACGAUCAAGCGCGUGAGCAGAAGGAUCGAAGACGAUUAGAGACCGUCGUAGUUCCUGCAGUAAACGAUGCCAACGGGUCGCAGGGUACUGUGGCCCAGGGGAAACCGAGUGUAUGGGCUCCGGGGAUAGUACAGGCGCAAGCCGGAAACUUAAAGAAAUUGACGGAAGGACACCACAAGGAGUGGAGUGUGCGGGUUAAUUUGACUCAACGCGGGACAACUUACCGGGGCAGGCAGCGCUGUGAGGAGGGUAAUUGGUUAAAGAUCUUGUGUUCCCAAGGAUGCUGCCUUGUGGUGCCAUGGCCCGUUCUUAACACGCGGGGUGACCUGU